rnacentral:rRNA from 1 species
UACGUAGGAUCCAAGCGUUGUCCGGAAUUACUGGGCGUAAAGCGUGCGCAGGCGGUUUGCUAAGACCGAUGUGAAAUCCCCGGGCUUAACCUGGGAACUGCAUUGGUGACUGGCAAGCUAGAGUGUGGCAGAGGGGGGUAGAAUUCCACGUGUAGCAGUGAAAUGCGUAGAGAUGUGGAGGAAUACCGAUGGCGAAGGCAGCCCCCUGGGCCAACACUGACGCUCAUGCACGAAAGCGUGGGGAGCAAACAGG